UCUUCUUCGCAUUUUUGGAUCACUUUUUCUUCGAUCAUCUCUCUCUUCCUUCAGCGUUCGCCCCUACUAACUACAACCCCUUUUCCACGCGAAAAUCUCAGUCUAGGGUUCUCACAACUUAUAAUCCCUCAAUCUUUUACUUUUAUGCUUUAAUCAUGAUUUUCUUUUUCGUAGUUAUAAUUAUGACUUAAAUCAGAUUGUUCGAUUUUCCUUUUUUCUCUCUUCUCAAGGAUUCUGGAACACUUUGUGAUCAAUGAAAAUGGAUUUGGUGUUUGGUUACAAGGUUCAUCAUUGAUGGAACACAUAAGCCAAAAUCAAAGGCAUCCCAAAUCACAGGUACUGCAUUGUUAGAGGAAUUGCUAAAUGCAACAUAAUUUCUUGCCUUGAGGUUGUCAAUUGUGUCCACAUAACUCUGUACACGACGAACCUGUGUACAACGACUUAAAUGUGAGCACCUUUCACCAUCACUUUGGAACUGCAUUACAUAACUAAGUGGUGGCAACUAGUUUUGUAUCGUCUAUUCAUUAAUAAAGUUUUAUUCAGCAUCCUAUCUGCAAAUUGUAGGCAACAUAGAAAUUUUCAAUUUUUGUUGGUUUUUUGAGUUCCAGUGAAAGAAUUUUUGGUGGGUUUGAGAGAUUUUGAUGAUUAAUUUCUAGGUUGAAAAUAAUGGGGGUUAUAGAGAUAGUUACCAAUUGUUGAGAGAGAAAGUUGAGUUUUUUUUUAUGUUCACGUUCCUGCUACAAUACAACACUCCGAAGGAAAGAGGAUUUGCAUUCUUUAUGUUCACGUUCCUGCUACAAUGAUCCCCUAUGUGACCCCAAGUCGAUCAUUUAAUUUAAUCUUAACCACAAUGAAGUUUAAGGUAUAUUUUCUCUCCCUUCAUUGUUACUUGCC